ACGGCCGCGGUAUCUUAACCGUGCAAAGGUAGCAUAAUCAAUUGUCCUUUAAAUUAGGACUAGUAUGAACGGCAUCACGAGGGUUUAACUGUCUCCCCCUUUUAAUCAAUGAAACUAAUUUUCCCGUGAAGAAGCGGGAAUGUAAUUAUAAGACGAGAAGACCCCAUGGAGCUUUAAACUUAACAUCACUUAUUAAAUAAUAAAACACACCACAUAAUAAGAGUGCUUUAUAGUUUUUGGUUGGGGCGACCCUGGAGAAUAACAAAUCCUCCAGAUUGAAAUGAAUAACUAACCUUAUACAAGAACCACAAUUCAAAUAAACAAAAAUUUGACAAUACUGACCCAGAAUAAACUGACCAGUGAACCAAGUUACCCUGGGGAUAACAGCGCAAUCCAUUUUAAGAGCCCUUAUCGACAAAUGGGUUUACGACCUCGAUGUUGGAUCAGGGUAUCCAAGCAGCGCAGCCGUUGCUAGUGGUUCGUUUGUUCAACGANNNNNNNNNNNNNNNNNNNNNNNNNNNNNNNNCGGCCGCGGUAUCUUAACCGUGCAAAGGUAGCAUAAUCAAUUGUCCUUUAAAUUAGGACUAGUAUGAACGGCAUCACGAGGGUUUAACUGUCUCCCCCUUUUAAUCAAUGAAACUAAUUUUCCCGUGAAGAAGCGGGAAUGUAAUUAUAAGACGAGAAGACCCCAUGGAGCUUUAAACUUAACAUCACUUAUUAAAUAAUAAAACACACCACAUAAUAAGAGUGCUUUAUAGUUUUUGGUUGGGGCGACCCUGGAGAAUAACAAAUCCUCCAGAUUGAAAUGAAUAACUAACCUUAUACAAGAACCACAAUUCAAACAAACAAAAAUUUGACAAUACUGACCCAGAAUAAACUGACCAGUGAACCAAGUUACCCUGGGGAUAACAGCGCAAUCCAUUUUAAGAGCCCUUAUCGACAAAUGGGUUUACGACCUCGAUGUUGGAUCAGGGUAUCCAAGCAGCGCAGCCGUUGCUAGUGGUUCGUUUGUUCAACGAUUAAUUAA
rnacentral:rRNA from 1 species